rnacentral:SRP_RNA from 1 species
UCUUGGUUAUCUCGCAAUGAAAACUUGCUAACCCGGUCAGAUCUGGAAGGAAGCAGCCGUCGUAAGUGGAUCAUGUGCCGAGAAUCAGCUGGGAGGC